CCAAAUUUCACGAGUUUGUGGCGCGCUGUUGGGAACAAGGUGAACUACCAUCAGACCUUCGUGAUGCAGUCAUCAUCACUUUGUAUAAGAAGAAAGGAGAUAAAUCAGACUGCUCAAAUUACCGUGGUAUUACUCUGCUCUCCAUUGCUGGCAAAAUCCUGGCAAGAAUACUCUUGAACAGACUAAUACCCACUAUAGCAGAAGGAAUCCUUCCUGAAAGUCAGUGUGGUUUCAGAGCCAACAGGAGCACCACAGACAUGGUAUUUGUUCUCAGACAACUGCAAGAGAAGUGUAGGGAACAGAACAAAGGUCUUUAUGUAACCUUUGUUGACCUCACCAAGGCUUUUGAUACUGUGAGCAGAAAAGGUCUGUGGCAGAUUUUGGAACAUUUAGGUUGUCCCCCCAAGUUCCUUAAAAUGAUCAUCUCACUCCAUGAGGAUCAGCACGGCCAAGUCAGAUAUGGUAACACACUUUCUGAGCCCUUUUUAAUUAAGAAUGGUGUGAAACAAGGCUGUGUUCUCGCUCCUACCCUAUUCACCGUGUUCUUUAGCAUGAUGCUCCAAAGGGCCACAGCAGACCUCGAUGAUCAGGACGGGAUCUACAUUCGAUACCGUACUGAUGGAAGUCUAUUCAAUCUAAGGCGACUGAAGGCCCACACCAAGACCUUAAACCAUCUUGUCCAGGAGCUGCUUUAUGCUGAUGACGCCGCCCUUGUUGCCCACACAGAAGCAGCUCUGCAGCGUUUAACAUCCUGCUUUGCAGAUGCUGCUGAGCUCUUUGGGCUGGAAGUCAGCUUAAAGAAGACAGAGGUUCUCCAUCAACCUGCACCUCAGGAAGUCCCCCAUCAUCCCCACAUCACCAUUGGCCAAUCAGAGCUCAAAUCAGUCCAGCAGUUUAAUUACCUAGGUAGCCUCAUCUCCUCGGAUGGUAAGAUUGAUGGAGAGAUAGACAACAGGUUAGCAAAGGCAUAUAGUGCUUUUGGAAAACUCCACAAAAGAGUAUGGCGUAAUAAACACUUGAAGAAAAGUACCAAGAUCAGUGUUUACAGAGCCAUAGUGCUGUCUACUCUCUUGUAUGGUUCCGAAUCAUGGGUCAUCUACCGCCACCACCUGCGACUCCUAGAACGCUUCCAUCAACGCUGUCUCCAUACAAUCCUAAACAUCCUCUGGUCAGAUUAUGUGACCAAUACAUCUGUUCUAGAACAAGCAGCAGUCACAAGUAUUGA
rnacentral:lncRNA from 1 species